rnacentral:lncRNA from 1 species
UGCAGUUAUCAUCUUGCUAUAGAUAACAUAUUGAAUCGUGCUGUACACCUGAAACUAAUGUAUUAUAUGUCCACUUGCCUCAGCUGAAAAAAUAAAAGUUAAAAAUGUUUAAAAAUGAGUGGAAGAAGCCAUGGUUCUUAUUUCAAAGGAUACUCUCUGCCCAGUGGCCUAGUUUUUUUCCUUUCUUGCUUCACGUUGCUUGUGUAUGCUGGCCCCUGAUUUCUCCAGCCAGUCAGCCUCUCCCCGGGACAACGCUCAGAAGCCCUUAACAAUAGCUGGUCCACCCGGGAGUGGAACUUCCCUUGGCAUAGCCCCACAUCCCUAGGACACGGUAACUUGUAUAACUAUCCACUCUCUGCUGCGUUUCAGGGAAGCUGACAGGUCUAUAUGGAAACCAUCAUGGACAGCGGUAUGCUGAAAAGUUAACAAUUGUACAGAGCCUUCCUCCAGGAGCACAGAGGUCCGCAUCAUUAAUCUUUAUAACACUCCCAUGACAGAGGCAGGAGGUGCGUCCUCUCAGCCCGUGUUUCAGAAGUGAGGGAAUGGGGCACAUCUGUGGGGGAGAUGAGUUAGGGUAUCAGGAGAGAAAAGCCCAAGCCCCGGGAGGUCCCUGCCACACUCAGCUGCAGCCUGACGUCUCCCAUGCAGGCUGCAGCCUGAGCUAACGCAGGUUUUGUCUUUAACAGGCGUGUUUAACUUUUCAGGGGGCCAGCAUGCGUCCAGGACAUCCACAUCGCUUUCCACUCUGCUGUGCUUUCCAGCCCAGCCCCCCAAGAAAUGUCUUGUGCGGUCCGUAGCUGCCAGUGGGUUUAAAUACCAGGUCUCGAGGCAGAGGUUUUCAAAAGGUCUCUGCCCUAGCUCCGCUUUGCCAGACACGCCCUCUGGCCACCCAGCCUCAGGGUUUCCUCCCCAGGCAAACCUGACCCCAGCACAUCUUCAGAAACCUCGUUCUCAUCUGGGCUCGGUGGCGGGGCUGAAAAUAAGGAGGCCUCAAAGUCAGCUCCUCGACUCCCAAAUCAACAGAUCUGAUUUUGCUUUUAUCAUCUACAGCUUGAAUUUCUGUCUCAGGAAAGCUCCCUGUCCCCAUAUAUGGCUUACUAACUAUUCAGCGAGGUAACUGAUGACCUGUAGAACCAACAUCCACAAUUUCAACAGUAGAAAGGCAAAAUGAGGAAAGAGGAGAAAAAAGACAGCC